UCUCAGAAAUAACGUCCCAGUUCGGAUUGUAGUCUGCAACCCGACUACAUGAAGCUGGAAUCGCUAGUAAUCGCGAAUCAGAAUGUCGCGGUGAAUACGUUCCCGGGUCUUGUACACACCGCCCGUCACACCAUGGGAGUCGGAAAUGCCCGAAGUCAGUGACCCAACCGUAAGGAGGGAGCUGCCGAAGGUGGAGCCGGUAACUGGGGUGAAGUCGUAACAAGGUAAC
rnacentral:rRNA from 1 species